GACGAACGCUGGCGGCGUGCUUAACACAUGCAAGUCGAACGGAAAGGCCCUGCUUGCAGGGUGCUCGAGUGGCGAACGGGUGAGUAACACGUGGGUGAUCUGCCCCUUACUUUGGGAUAAGCCUGGGAAACUGGGUCUAAUACUGGAUAGGACCAUGCUGUAGGUGGUGUGGUGGAAAGAUUAGUUUCGGUAAGGGAUGAGCUCGCGGCCUAUCAGCUUGUUGGUGGGGUAAUGGCCUACCAAGGCGUCGACGGGUAGCCGGCCUGAGGGGGUGGACGGCCACAUUGGGACUGAGAUACGGCCCAGACUCCUACGGGAGGCAGCAGUGGGGAAUAUUGCACAAUGGGCGCAAGCCUGAUGAAGCGACGCCGCGUGGGGGAUGACGGCCUUCGGGUUGUAAACUCCUUUCAGCCAUGACGAAGCCCUUGUGGUGACGGUAGUGGUAGAAGAAGCACCGGCUAACUACGUG
rnacentral:rRNA from 1 species